rnacentral:rRNA from 1 species
GACGAACGCUGGCGGCGUGCUUAACACAUGCAAGUCGAGCGGUAAGGGCCCUUUCGGGGGUACGACGAGCGGCGAACGGGUAGGAGUAACAACGUGGGUGACCUGCCCUCCAGCUCUGGGAUAAGCCUGGGAAACCGGGGUCUAAUACUGGAUAUGACUCCAUGACGCAUGUUGUGGGGUGGAAAGCCUUGUGCGGCUGAGGAUGGGCCCGCGGCCUAUCAGCUUGUUGGUGGGGUGAUGGCCUACCAAGGCGACGA